rnacentral:rRNA from 1 species
AAUCAACGCUGGCGGCGCGCUUAACACAUGCAAGUCGAACGAGAAAGGGGAGCAAUCCCUGAGUACAGUGGCGUACGGGUGAGUAACACGUGGAUGAUCUACCUUUUAGUGGGGAAUACCUCUGGGAAACCGGAGACAAUACCGCAUAAGCUCGAGAGAGGAAACCUGGAAACGGGGCUGAAAGAGGAGUCCGCGGCCGAUUAGCUAGUUGGGUAGGGUAAAAGCCUACCAAGGACAAAGAUCGGAGCCGGCCUGAGAGGGCACACGGCCACACUGGCACUGAAACACGGGCCAGACUCCUACGGGAGGCAGCAGGUGGGGAAUCUUGCAUAAUGGGGGCAACCCUGAUGCAGCGACGCCGCGUGAG